rnacentral:rRNA from 1 species
GUUGUAUAGUCAAGUAAUUAAGUGCAUGUGGUGGAUGCCUUGGCAGUCAGAGGCGAUGAAAGACGUGAUAGCCUGCGAAAAGCUCCGGGGAGGCGGCAAAUAUCCUUUGAUCCGGAGAUGUCUGAAUGGGGGAACCCACCUACUUUAAGGUAGGUAUUGCAACAUGAAUACAUAGUGUUGCAAGGCGAACGAGGGGAAGUGAAACAUCUCAGUACCCUUAGGAAAAGAAAUCAAUUGAGAUUCCCUCAGUAGCGGCGAGCGAACGGGGAUCAGCCCAUUAAGUUAUGUGUGUUUUAGUGGAACGCUCUGGGAAGUGCGAACGUAGAGGGUGAUAUUCCCGUACACGAAAGGGCACACAUAAUGAUGACGAGUAGGGCGAGGCACGUGAAACCUUGUCUGAAUAUGGGGGGACCAUCCUCCAAGGCUAAAUACUCCUGACUGACCGAUAGUGAACCAGUACCGUGAGGGAAAGGCGAAAAGAACCCCUGUGAGGGGAGUGAAAUAGAUCCUGAAACCGCAUGCAUACAAGCAGUGGGAGCACCUUCGUGGUGUGACUGCGUACCUUUUGUAUAAUGGGUCAGCGACUUAUAUUCAGUAGCGAGGUUAACCGUAUAGGGGAGCCGUAGAGAAAUCGAGUCUUAAUAGGGCGUUUAGUUGCUGGGUAUAGACCCGAAACCAGGCGAUCUAUCCAUGAGCAGGUUGAAGGUUGGGUAACACUAACUGGAGGACCGAACCCACUGUCGUUGAAAAGCCAGGGGAUGACUUGUGGAUAGGGGUGAAAGGCUAAUCAAGCCUGGUGAUAGCUGGUUCUCCCCGAAAGCUAUUUAGGUAGCGCCUCGGACGAAUACCAUAGGGGGUAGAGCACUGUUUCGGCUAGGGGGUCAUCCCGACUUACCAAACCGAUGCAAACUCCGAAUACCUAUGAGUACUAUCCGGGAGACAGACUGCGGGUGCUAACGUCCGUAGUCAAGAGGAAAACAAUCCAGACCGCCAGCUAAGGCCCCAAAAUCAUAGUUAAGUGGGAAACGAUGUGGGAAGGCAUAGACAGCUAGGAGGUUGGCUUAGAAGCAGCCACCCUUUAAAGAAAGCGUAAUAGCUCACUAGUCGAGUCGGCCUGCGCGGAAGAUGUAACGGGGCUAAAACUAUGUGCCGAAGCUGCGGAUGUAUACUUUGUAUACGUGGUAGGGGAGCGUUCUG